CCUGAGGGCCCAGGAACUGCAAUAAAUGAUCACAGGGAGGCUUAGAGUUCAGAGAGGAGGUGUGAUUCUGAGGUCACACAGCAAGUUAGAGACCCAGCUCCACCACUCGUUGUCUUGGCUUUGGCCCUCGCCAUCCUGCCCACCCAGCGGGGCCUCCCAACCCACCACACGGCCAUGGAUGGGAAGGUGGCAGUGCACGAGCACGGGCCUCCUGCAGUCUCCUGGGUCCCCGAGGAGGGAGAGAAGUUGGACCAGGGAGACGAGGACCAGGAGCCUUCUUCAUCCCCUACUUCAUCUUCUUCUUUGCCUGCGGCAUCCCGGUGUUCUUCCUGGAGGUGGCGUUGGGCCAAUACACCAGCCAAGGGAGUGUCACAGCCUGGAGGAAGAUCUGCCCCCUCUUCCAGGGCAUUGGUCUGGCGUCUGUGGUCAUCGAGUCAUAUUUGAAUGUCUACUACAUCAUCAUCCUUGCCUGGGCUCUCUUCUACCUCUUCAGCUCCUUCACCUCUGAGCUGCCCUGGACGACCUGCAACAACUUUUGGAACACAG
rnacentral:sRNA from 1 species